rnacentral:rRNA from 1 species
GAUGAACGCUGGCGGCGUGCCUAAUACAUGCAAGUCGAGCGAACAGACGAGGAUCUUUCUCCUCUGACGUUAGCGGCGGACGUGUGAUUAACACGUGGUUACCCUCCCUCUAAUUCUUGGAUAACUUCGGGACACCGUAUCUCAUACCGGAUAAUAUAUUUAUCCGCAUGUUUCAAUAGUGAUAGACGUUUUUGCUGUCACUUCUAGAUUUAUCCGCUCCGCAUUAGCGAGUUGGUAAGGUAACGUCUUACCAAGGCGACGAUGCGUAGCCGACCUGAGAGGGGGAGCGGCGACACUGGAACUGAGACACGGACAAGAGGACUACGGGAGGCAGCAGAAGGGAAUAGGCCGCAAUGGGCGAAAGCAUGACGGAGCAACGGCGCGUGAGAGAUGAAGGUGUUCGGAUCGUAAAACUCUGUUAUGAGGGAAGAACAAAUGUGUAAGUAAAAAUGCACGUAGUGACGGUACCUAAUCAGAAAGCAACGGCUAACUACGUG